AAAAAUAAAAAGGGAAAAAUGGGUAACUAAUAUAAUAAGAAGGAAAAUUACUGGCCAAUCCGCUUUCAUCACACAGAUCACCCUCUGAGCCGUAGGAUACAAAUAAAUCAGCGGAUGAGAUUGUUUUAUUUAUUAUUUCCUUUUUUGUUUUCUCUCUCUCUCUCUCUCCGUCUUAUUUUCACAGAUCUCUUUUUUUGGAUCUCUUCAUCUUCUUCGACAAUCUCUUUUAGUUUUACAGACCUCUUUUAGUUUUUCAUCUCACAGACAUCUAUCUGUCUCACUCUCCUAAUCUCUCUAUCUCACACACGACACAUCUCCAACCAUCUUCUUUAGAAAGGCGGAUGAGGCGCCAAAGCGACGGUGGAGGCGCGGCAGACUCGUCACUUGUCAAAGCCCUGCGUUGGCUUCACCUCCUCUCCACCACCACAGAUUUAUUAAGGAGCAGGGAAAGAAAGGCAUUGGUGUGAGGCGCGGCAGACUCGUCUCCGGUGCAGCGGCGGUGCAAGCCGGUGGUGGUCGUGCGGUGGCGAUGCGAGCAGCAUGGUCGUGAGUGGAGAUGCGAGCAGCGGCGGAGACUGAAGAAGUUAAUUAGGUUUAGUUAGGGUUAAUUAUGUUUAGAUUUAGAUUUUUUUUGUGAACGGUUUAGAUUUAGAUUUCUAAACCGGAUUUGUCUGAAACCGGGUUUAAUUAUUAAACCGGCAUUUGUAAACAAGUUUUAAAUAAUAUAUUGACAUUUUAAAACCAA